GUGGACUCUCCGUUGACCACAGAGAAUGCUCCUGCAGGACUUUUCAUGAUAUCCCAAGUGGAAGAUUAUCUUACUGUUUUGCACAUAACCAGAGUCCUCUAGGUUCGUAAAAGCGGAGAAGAUGUCCAGGCUGUGAGCAGAAAGGGAAGUGAUGAUGGGUCGGAAGGCUAGGAGAGACCCCAUGCAGCUUGAAGAUGGAGCCAAGCAAAUACGGGCAACCUCUACCUCUGGAAAAGGCAAGGUGACGGAUGAUCAAGGAGUCACCAGAAGGGAAUGACACAGUCCAUCGGCCACUGAUUUUAGCUCAGUGAAACUGGGGAUGGACUUCUGACUUCGAGAAUGUAAGAAAAUAUGUGUGUGUUGCUUUAAGUCUCUCAAUUCGGAUGACUUGUUCCAACACAAUAGAAGAUCUAAUACAAUAGAGAUUUUAUUUAACAAGAGAAAAUGGGAGGCAGGGAUGAAUGGGUCUUCUUUUAGGUGGAAAGUUGUAACAUUUGGGAUCUUAAAGGAGUAGGAAUAGAACCUGGACUUUUUAUUUUUGUUUUUUAUUGAAAGAUUUAUUUAUUUAUACAAGCACUGGGUACAGUCAGAAGCGCGGGAGGGUGAGAGGAUUCACCAGAGCCAGAGCAGGGAA